CUACAACAUCUACCCAUCUGUACUUAUGUCAUCUUCCUCAAGAUCUACAUAUAUAAUGAGAACGGUUUACGUGUUUGAAAGUCCCAAAGGAACAAAAAUUUUCAAAAGUGGCUAGGGAUUUGAUUUUUCAUUUGCCAUGUGACGUGGAAUCAAGGUUAGGUACCGGUGGAAUUGAAGAAACAAAGAUGUCACAACGGGGUGUUUGGCAGCUUCAGAAGCUGGUAGUCAGCUACUGUAACUGCGGUGGAAGUAGUAGGGGUAUCAGGUAUGUUAUAUAUAUAUAUAUAUAUAUGUGUGUGUGUGUGUGUCUUUAAAUAUGGUACCAUGGCUUAUUUUGUAGUCUAAUUUCUCUAUGAUUGGCAAAUUAGUGUACCCUUAUAAACCAUGCUUUCAUUGGAUCCAUAAUCUUCAACAUGUCAAAUUUAUGUAAAUAUAUAACCGCACGGUUUAGUAAGCCUUUUUAUGUGCAUUUUUCAGUAAAAAACCAUGAUGUCUUAGUUGAAGGGUGUAAUAUGGAGUCCAGAUGAUUCAUUGUUUGGUAUCUGGAGUUGAUUACGAGGCUCCUUAGGCUCUGCAUUGGACGAGGGAGAUGAAGUUGCUAAAUGGCUCACUUACUUCCGAAGGGAAACCAAGCCACUUAGUAAGCUUUAAUGAAGGUACAAUUCACCACAUAUUAUUAUAGGCUUCAAGCUGAUCUUUUACUUUAAUCAAGCUAUGAGGAUGGUAUUUGCUUACUGAUUAUUACAUGAUCCCUUAUUGGCUUAAGCACACAUAAAUCUACACCUCACUUUGUUUGUGUGCGAAGUAUAAAGCAAGAAAGGUAGCCAAGAAUGAACAACAAUAAGAAAGACUUUUGUAAGGUCAAGGCGUACAUAAAGCAACUCAACAUUUUUAACCACAACAAUAGAUAGGGGUUGUGAAUGUAUGUUUAUUGCGUGUAGUUAUCAUACAUUAUGUUUUAAUUUGGAAAGGCCUAUAAAAAAAUGAUGACCUACAUGGGGUUCAAUGCCGGUAGA